rnacentral:rRNA from 1 species
UACAGAGGGUGCAAGCGUUGUUCGGAAUCAUUGGGCGUAAAGGGCGUGUAGGCGGUUUGUUAAGUCAUGUGUGAAAUCCCUCGGCUCAACUGAGGAUCGUCGAUCGAUACUGCCGUUCUUGAGGAUUGCAGAGGAGACUGGAAUUCCCGGUGUAGCGGUGAAAUGUGUAGAGAUCGGGAGGAACACCGGUGGCGAAGGCGGGUCUCUGGGCAAUUCCUGACGCUGAGGCGCGAAAGCGUGGGGAGCAAACGGG